UGCUGCCCGCAGUGGGCCUGGAGGCCCCUGAGGUGGGGUCAGAUCUACUCCUUCGACUCUCCAGUUGAGAGCUGCUGCUUUUGGGCACCGCCAUCUUUGAUCAUUCUCUGCUUCCCACCUCCUGAUCUUGAGAAAAAACUGCAAUAAAUCUGGAGUCUAUUUCUCAAUUCUGCUUUGGUGCAAAAUGAAGUGUAUGUGCGAAUGGGGCUGGGUCGCAGUUCCUUAGGCGGUAGCCCCUGGCUGCAGUCAGGGAGGGGGCUCUAGCCAUCUGCCUUCUCCUAUCUCUUUUUGCCUUGUUUGUGUAGCAGUUUUUAAAAGGAGCGAUGGGAGACUGCCAGGGACCAGGUGCCCGGGAGAGGCAUCACCAGAACUUUGUUUUACUUAGUCAGCCUUAAGCUUUGGCUCUACUGGUAGAAGACACAGCUGAACAGACCGCAGUAGCAUGUCAGAUUUAGUGUUUUAGGUGGGGAGAUUACUUUUAAGAAUCCAGGAAGGAAAAUGACGUGCGUUGGCAUAUACAGUGUAUCACACCUAUUAGUACUUAGAUUAAAUUCUAUACCUUGCAACUGUUAGACUUGUAACUGAGUUUCAGUAUAUAAAGAAAAAUGUCCACAGAUGCAGACGAAACAAUUUUGAUGUUUAAGGUAGGAGUAGAUGAGAAGAUGAUAGGUUUUGCAGACGUGCUAGAAUGAAAAUUGAAGGUACAUUAUUAGGGAAAUAUUUGGUAGUUCAUUUUAGUUUAACUUUCUUGUCAGACUUUUUCUAUUGAAGGUAUUUUUACUUGUGGCUUAAUGGUAAAGCUAACGUAGAAGUAGGGAUAUAAUUCACAUGUUUUAGUUUGUGUUUAGUUAUCUUUCCUAUAUGACAAGCAACUCCCUUAAUCAAGCUUUACCAUUGAUUGAUUGAUUGUAUGUUUUGGGUGUAUUGCUUUUUAAAGUUGCCCUUUUGUAAGUUAAGGAAAGAAGAAAAAGUCAAGUCCAGUAUAUUGCAUUUUCCAACUGAUGCUCUUUCAAUGGUUAAAUGUUUGACUGUCCUUAAAUUGAGUUUAUAAAUAAUUGCACACUGCCUGGAAUUGUUAGGCUGGUAGUUGAGUUCUACUCUGUUUAAACAGGUACUAUUCAUAUUCCUAAAAGUGAUAUGAUGGCAGAGAAGAUGAUGGUUCUCUUAAUGUAUGUAUACUAAACCAUAAUUACUAGUGAAUAUUGAAAACCUUAUUUGCUUUUCAUUCAUGCCAUGGAUUUUUUUAUGAUAAUUUUUUGGUGAUACACUUUACAUUCUGAAAACUACAGUUAUUUUAAAUUAUUGACUUAUUGUAUGUUGAUUUUUUUAGCUACUUUUAUUGUGCCUAGUGAUUUAAGAUUAUAGAUGAUUGUAAUCUAACUAUAAAGACACCCAGCAUUGAAUCUUGAAGGCUUUCAACUUGAGAGAAUAAAAGUAUAUAAUUCUUAGUACAUUAUGUUGUUUAAUUUCUGAGGGUUUUCUUGCUAUCAGGGCUACACUCCAGUUUGUGCUAACAGCUGCGCACUGGCACUGGGGUAUUGACUGUGUUGUGAAUGUUAAGAUGGAUCAACUUUAUGUGGCACUACAUUGCUAAAGAGAGGGAAUUGAUACUCCUCUCUAGCAAGAACCCCUUCUUACGAUUUGUACUGAUUUAUUUUUUGCCCCUUUAAAGUUUUGGCCUACCCAUACAGAACCAUGUAGCAUUUCGUGCUUGGACUCUUAUCAGCAGGAGAAAUUCAAUUAAGAAGUGUUAGUCUUCUAGUUGCUUAUUUGCACAGGACUUAGUUACACCGUUCUGCAAGGAAAGCGUAGUCAACGGCAUGUCAAAGGAGGUGUCCGCAGGGGAAGAGAAAGGCCUGCUUGGCUGGUUGGACUGCUUGAAGGAUUUUUUAAUGUUUGAGAAGAAAAUGACUAUCAAAAUGCUAUACUUUUAAAAUAAUCCAUCUUGAAAAAGUCAUAAGAAUUUUAGAUAUCAGAACUAGGACAAGAAUGUAGUUUGCACAUGAGUUUUGUACCCAUUUAGUGUAUGAUGGAUUAAACCUUUUAUCUUUAUUGCUAAAAGUGUGAGUAGCUUUCAGAGGACAGGGCAGUACUCUUAGUUAACCCUUCCAUUUAAUUCUUACCUUACAUUUUUAGUGUUUCAUUUGCAUCUUUUUCUGGCCUGUUCUUUUUUAAAACUUUCAUAUAAGAAUUUGCUACAUUUUUUAUUGUACAGUGCUGUUUUUCAUUUAAUUUUCAAUGUAUAAAAAAUCAGAUCAAUCAAGUAAACAUUUAGCAAAGAAAUAAGAAAAUUGUUAUCUUUGAGUCUCAAUGGUUCUGUAUUUACUGUAUAUUUUGUUGAUCUUGCACUAUAUCCAGUAUAGUUAACAUUUGCUCUAAAGUUUUGAAAACAAAUGCUUUAUUACACAUAUGUAUAAUGUUUCUGUUUCAAUGAGACUAUUUUCUAGCUUUUAAGAGCUUUUUAUUAUGGACAACAACUCUCUCUCUUACUAUAUAUGUAUAUAUAUAUAUAUAUAUAUAUAUAUAUAUAAAAACAAUAAUAUAUAUGUAGAAAGAAGAGAAUUUUGAACAUUGUUUGCCUUCAACAAUGGCAACAAUUGGCCAAUUUUGUUUUCUCUAUUACUUUUGCCCUCCUAGAAUUUUUGUUGAUUCUGAUAGUAAUAGGCCUUUAAUAGUGCAAAUUUUAUAUCAAUUUUAGAUAGACAUUAUGGUUUGUUUACACUGGGAAUAUUGAAUGAUUGAACAGGAAAAUACAAAGUCAAUGUAUGUUAGAAAUGUCAUAAAUUAUAUUGCUUUAUCAAUAUAUUUUCCUUAAAGCCAUUUAAGAAUAUUUUGUCAAUUUUUUUCUCUUUGUAGAUUUAUAUUGUUUGCUGGAGAUUGUGUAGGAAGUUUUGAAGCCUGUAAGAGAAUGACAUAUGUCUGACUUUUCCUCUUCCUCUUUCGUUCUAAAACAGUAAUACAAUCUGUUGGUAGAAAACCUGGACAAAUUGUCAUUGCCAAGCUGUUGUAGAACUUUCUGGUCUGAAGUAUCAUGCAGAUAUACCUUUAAAAUGGGAUGAUCUUUUCUAGCCUUUUUUUCUUUUCAAUAAAAGUAUAUUGAAGCCUGUUGUCAAUACUAACUUGAUCUGUGCAAGUAAUUCUUUUGUGCCUUAGUUUUAUUUUUAGUCAGCCUCAUUACAGAUUUGUGUGGUUUUGAUAUUUUAUUUAGGACUUUACCAUGUCAUUUUUAUUAAUUUACAUAGCUUUAUUCUAAAUCAGAAGUAUAUUACUAUACUGGUAAUGGAGGCCCCAACUUGCCUCCAAAACACACAAAUCCACCCAUUUUUUUAUAACAUAAAACUACAUUUUUUUCAUACUGGUGAUUUUUCUUUAAUUAAUUUUGCUUGUAGUUUUAGAUUUUUAGUUUAUAAAUUUUAUAAUCCAAAGCAAGAUUUUAGUUAACAUCUUACUUAGCUUAUGUGUAUUUUGGUACUGUAUAGGGCAUGCUGUAGGAUGAAAUUAUAUUUUAUAUAAAGUGGGUGUCUAAGAAUUGAAACUGAAUUUUCUGAACCACGUAAGUCAUCACUUUGUUUUAUAUGGAUACCAUAUAGUAUUUAUUCAAAAUAAAUACUUGACACAUCAGCACUAACAUAUCAAGUUAAAUAAGGAUUUAGACUAUUUUUCCCAUAUUCAGGUAUAUGUGAAGAAUUUUUAGAUCCAUUUUAUUUCAGUAUUGACACUGUGAGAAUAAUGUUUUAUUUGUUUUCUCAGCAGGCCUGUGCUUUAGCCAUUUCUCAGAGUGAUGAGCAUGAGUGAGGCAGUAACUGACAAAGCUGCACGGCUCCCUCCCAUGCUGACCUUUUCCAAGUAGUUGCUCGACUUUUAUGGGCCAUUCCAGCCUGGAAGUGUGAGGAGACACUCAUUUACAUCACAGUGUAUAGUAUAGUGUAAAUCAGUGACUUUUUUAGGUCUGUUUACCACAGUUUCUUUUCUUUCCAAACGUAUUGAUGUUAAUGAAACAAACUGCUAUUAUAGCUAGGUGAUAGUGCUAUAUUUAGCAAAUAAAUUAAAAAGUAAUGCUUGAGGGAGCCACUGAGAAAAAUAAGACAUCUUUUAUGCUUUCAGACAUAGAACAUAUUAGAAAACAAAUUUCAGUCUUAAACUCUUGAUUUUAACAAUGCUCUUUGUAAGCAGACUUUCAGUUAGAAUCCCUUAUUACCUUUUUCAUAGACAUGACAUAAACAUAGGAUGGCUAUAGUUUUUAGUGUAAAGUGUGGCUUGCUUGUACACUGUAUGAAUAAAGUAUGAUAUCUAGCAAAGAAGUUAAUUCGAAAGAAUGUGUUAAAUUGAAUAAACAUAGCAAUUUUUUUUAUUUACUCUACACAUAGUAACAAUUGCUACUGAAACAAAGUAAUUAUGGAUAAACAUACUUGUUUAAAGUUUUAUAUUUGUUUUCUUUCAGCUUAAGUAUUUUAAAAGUGAUGAGCUGUUUUGAGGACUAGCCCUUUUGGUGUGAUCAUAUUAAUGAGUUUUUGGUAUACAGUGUAGUCCUUUUAAUGCUGAUGAUUUCUCCUGAUGUUUAAACCAUUAUUUAGGAGAUGCCAGCAUAUGUUAGUGCAAAAUGAUUUUGUUUUGUUUUGUUUUAUGUGGUACAUCAGUUUUCAAAGCAUAUUUCUUAGGCAUCAGCAUCCAGCAGGUGGCUUUUUACAUUAAAAAAUUCAUAAAUUUUAAAAUCCCAUAAAAUUUUAUUUCAAAUUCAAAUUAACUGAUUGAGAAUGUCAACAUUUCCAGUGUCUCUAUAUUAACAUUUAUAAUAGAACAAAUGGUUGCAUAUAGGAAUUAUCUGCAGCAUAAUCUAAAUUAAGAUUCUAAACAGGCAUUACAGAUGCUGGUAACUUUGGCAAUUAUCAUUUUGUUUGGUGAACAGUAGUAAAACAGUGUGCGGUAAAAGUGUUUAGAGAGAGAGGAUAAAUAAAUUGAACAGUUUUGCAAUGCAAAGUGGUUUGUGGUGUUUUUGAGGAUUUCUUGGCUCUCUCUUAACUGCUAUUGUGAGCCUGGAGCAGAUUUCCCCAUUGCUAAUGCCCUAGAAGUAUUAAUUCACUUUGAUAUGCUAAUUAGAGGGCAUUAUGCAAGAAAUGAGAUUAAGUGGCAGCAUGAAGCCAUUUGCCUGUCAGUAAAUUGAGAGCUUUAGCAUCAGGAGGAGCUUUGUUUUUUUUUUUUUUUUUUGGUAUGUGUUUUGUUUUUUCUUUUUUUUCUGCCCCCCUCCCAGUUUCUCUUGGUUUUGCAUAUAAAUAAAACUGAUUGAAAGCUCUGGAGAAGGCUCUGGAACAUUGGGCUCCCUCUCCCGCCAUGAUUAAAUGUAAUAUGAAAUUUUCCUUUUACAUUCUGUGUGAAAUUAAGAAUUUGGUCAUUUAAUUUCUUUUUCCUGAAAUGACUUUAGCAACAUCACUAGUGAAUUGUUAUCACUUACUUAUUUACCUCUUUGUAAGUGUAAACAUUGUGUACCAGUGUCAGCACUAAACUGAAUUUCACAAGAAUGUCUACUUGGGAGAGAAGAAAGAAGCUGGUGAAUGGGCUUCAAGAAACUAUAUUAAAUGGACAUUAAGAUUUUGACUUGAAUUCAUGGAAGUUGAACCAAUAAAAUUAAUUAGUGGUUAAAUUGCCCUUUUCAACACAACCUGUGGAAUUUAUAUUUUAUUGUGUGUUGACAUGUAAGAUUGCCGUAUUUGAUUUUCAUGUUGCAAAUGAAAUUUCUUACUUCAUUCUGGUUUGUGGCUAAAGUCAGGCAUUUGAUUUUUGCUCCAUAAGGCUACUUUGUGAUUUUCUAUUAUUUUGUGAGAAAAUUGGUGAAUGCUUAAAGGGAUUGAGGAAGUGGAGGAACAGCAUUCUCUGGGCUUAAGAAAAAGUUAAGAUUUCUUCAGACACUGAGCAUCUACCUGUGUAAAGCUUUGAUAGACCUGCCAAUUGCUGUCUAACUACAAGUCACUGGGUUGGAUAGGUGGGAGUGUUUGGGCGAGGAAUUUGUACUGAGACUGGGUUCUAGUGUCUGAAUUCCAUCAUGUCUAGACCCAAGAAGCCGUAACUUCUCAGAGCCGUAUGGAUAGUUUAGUCACUACAGCUGCCAUGUAUGUACACUAUGGGGGCUUCUGUCUCCUUGGGUCUGGGUGGGCAUGUGACGCCUGCUAAUAUUACUGGAAGUUAGGAAUGUGCAUACAGACGUGAAGAUGAGAACCUCUUGGGACAGAGUCCUGAUGACAGUUCUGUGGGAUGAGGACUUAGUAGAUAGCACAUUAGCUACUUUUUUUUUUCUGAAUGAAAUACUGCUUACUUUAGAUUUUUGUCUCUUUUCAGACUCCUCAUUUGUCUCUUGAUUACUUACACAAUUUUAUUUUAAACACAUGAAGCUAUUUUCUGUUGAAACAGAGAACAAGAGCUUUGAAAUUGCAUAUUAUUAUUUAAACAAAAGCCUUUUUACAAGCUUUCAGGUAACUAAGCCUUGUAAAUAAAGCUUUAUGGAAGACUUAUAGGGACAUGGCAUUUAAUGAAAAGUCAGUCACUGCAUUUAAAAAAAAGCUGAAAUGGCAACUUACUAUGUACAUCUCCCUUUUACUAUGCAGGUGUCCUCAAAUGAGGAAGAAGAGACUUUGACAGUCUUAUAACUUUGUUUUUCUUGCUUCCUCACCUCCCCUUAAAAAAGAAAGAAAGAAAGAAAGAAGAAAGAAACUGCCGAUGAAGGUAGUUGGAAUUCAUAGUCAGAUAUAUCAUUUUCAACUUGGAAUAGGAACUAGAGCAGGAAAUUGAUUUUAUAUUUAUUAUGAAAGCAAGAACUCUGCCACCAACUGACAGCCUUCCAUGUUUUAGUUUGCGAUAAUUGUUCACAGACAUUACUCUGCAGUUGGUCCAGGUUAUUUAUAAUGUUGAUUGGGAGUGUUGGUCCAUUGAAAGGUAUGUGUAUAAUGAACAUCUUUAAUUAAAUCAGGAAAAACUGAAAUAUUUUGUUUUUCUUUUCCACCAGAUCUUGGGCGUAGGAUUAACUGUCAGCACAGCUAAGAACAAGUUACAAUAGAUUGUACAAUGAUUUCUCUGGCAUCAUGGAUGUAUUUAUUACCAUUUUUGAACAAAUUAUACUAACAUGAAAAGUUGUGUUUGAAAUGAUUGUGUGCUAGAUAAGGCGAUACAUUACAGGAAUGGUUGGGUUUAUGGAGCUUUAUGUAGAGGUUUUCUCAGAAAUUAUAGCACAGGGCUGUCACUAUAAAACCUAGUGAUACAGUUGGUAAUAACAUACAGGGAAGAUAUUUUUAGGGUUUUCACUUGUUAUUCAAAUAAGUGAAAGCCCUCCAGUUUUUCUUAUCAUAUUUCUUUGUUAGAAUCAGUGUUAAAAAAAGAAGGAAUUCUUUUAACUGGGUAGGGCGUGGUGUUGACUUGUCUGCGUGUGCUCCUGCUUGGCACUUGUUAGAGCUAUGGCACAGUGCUGAGGACAGCCUCAGGAGCUCAUUGGCAUCUUCGUUCAUGACCUUUUGACUUUGAUGAAGGAUGAAUACUGAACACCUGAAAAUGAAAUGACGGGCCUAUGAAUAUAAACUAUACUUUAUCAAUGUAUUGCAUGAACUAAUUUUGAUUUACCUAAAUUUGUGCCACCCUGCCUAGGUGCUGAGGAUAUUUCCCAGGGGUUCCUGCAUGCUAAGCAACUGCCCAGCCAUUGAGCUGCAUUCUCAUCUACAGUUUUGUUUUAGUGAAGAUAGUAGUUCAUACUUCAGUGUGAUCAUGCCAAUAAUGUUGAGUUUUACAUUAAACCAACAUCUUCUUUUCUUGGCUUAUUUUUAUAUGGCUUUUUUUUUAAGUGACCUUGACUAUUGUGUUAGUGUUAAAUUUCUAAUAUUUUAGAGAAUAUUGGUUUGAUAUUUAAAGUGUUUUUUUUCUUAGAACCAAAUCAAUCAGUGAGUGCUUUGUUUUUUUCUGAAAAAUUGUAUAUUUUGCUGAGUGUUAUUCAGUGAGUGAAUUAUUUUAGAAAUAAAAAUGUUUUCCAAAUUUGAGAAAGUAAUUGUCAACCACUGUAUUAUGAAAAAGGGUCAGUUGUUCUUAUAAAAAUUUCCCUUUCCAUUGUAAAUGUUAGACCGAUGGCCGAAGCACGGGGUUUCUGAAUCUCUUUGUCCUUAGUUAUAAUUUGCUAAAAAGGCAAGGCCCAUCCCUCCAUUGGUUCUAUUCGUCUUGUGUAGGUAACAGUAUAUAUAGAUGGCUACAUCAUUCCCAUUCACUGACCACUAUGCACAUGCCAGGCCAUAUGCUGGCUGAUUUAUGUACGUUUCCUCUAAUAAGGCAAUUUACACUCUGAAAAUUAAAUUACGUACACACACACACACACACACACACACACACACACACUUUAUGGGAAAAAAAUCUAUAGUGCACAUGACAUAUUUUUUCUUAAACUUCAAACAACCACCAAACACAUUUAACCUUGAAUAACAGAGGAAGAAGGUUAAAUACUCUACCACUGGCCCCAUAGUGGGUGACAACCCAGGCUUCCUCUGCUCCAGUAGUACAGGUGGAACCUUCCCACCUGGGGAGAGAGUAGUGGAUAUGGGUGUUCAGAUGGCAAAACCUGAGCUUAAAAAAUAUGGCCAGGGUUGAAGUGACACUGAGUGGCAGCAGAGCUUUGGUCAGCAUCAGUGUAAAUAUUUGUAGACAACCAUGUUCUACAGACUUCAGUCUAAUGGCAAAAAUCUGCCCUAAAUGCCUCAGUAAAUAUAUGCUGGAGAACAGAAGCCUAUUCACUGAAGAAACAAUUGACUUUCGCUUCUCUGUUGUCAAAGUGGCCCCUGGUGAUAGUGCUGUGGUGGCUAGAUAGAGCGAGCAGAAUGGCUUCCUCCUGGCUGGUGGGCUGGCAGCUUCGCUGGCACUGCCAAAUGUACUUCCUAUUUGUUGUGCAAGGGAAUUGGAACAGUGAGGCAUUUAUCAUCUCAUCCCCUACUCCUCAUGCGAGCAAAAAAGGAGAAGUUGUCAAUGAAAGAGAAAGAACUGUAAUCGCACAUUUACAUAUGCUUCUAAUUGUUGAUUUGGGGAUUUUCUAUGAAUAUAGCUUUACAAAACAGAUGCUGUUUAAGAAAAGGGGGAACAUAAUUUUGUGGGCAAUGAAUUAAGUGUUUUUGUGGCCCUCUCAUCCGUAGCUAGGAGCAGUUUGUGGACCGCGUCUGUGAACGCGGCUCAUAAUUGUUUUUCACACAUAAGUUAUGCAAAUGAGCUUUUAUGGCAACUGGCAUAACAAUUAGCAUCCUCCAGCAAUAUUUUAGCAGGUUAAUUGCAAAAUUUCUAAAUUGUACAUCUGACUUGUUAAUUAGGCAUGACAGAGGUGGUAAAAUAGUUAUCUUCAGGCAGUGGCAGCCAGGAGCUGCUUGAAAUGCAAAGAGCAAGGAUUGAUUGGAUUUGAGGGCUGCAAUGGUGGGAGCAGGGCUGCUGUCAAGUGCCGCCUCGAAGCUCUGCUCCAGCCGCUGCCUCAGAGCAAGACCUGGAGCUGCUGCAAGGAUCCUGCAUUUACAAAUCUACUGUAUUUAACUCUACAACUUUCUCAUUCCCACCUAUCUGAACUGUUUACAUCCCACAGUUUGUUGUACAUCAGGAUCAUUGAAAGGAAAUAGCAACACAAAAGAAGUUAUUUUGGGCUUGAAUUUUAGGGCCCUGGAAGUUUACUUUCUAUUUUAAAGUCCAUGUCAGCACUUGUUAAUAAUAAUAAUAAUAAUAAUAAUAAUAAUAAUAAUAAUAAAGGGAAACACAAAUUCCCGACUUCUAUUGAAUAUAAUUUUAGUAACCCAGGCAUCAAGUGUGAUCAUUUGCUUUGUGAUAAUUUAACUUUUAAACAUCAUUUCCUUUCAUGCUUCAUAUGUUGGGGAAAUAAUAUUUUGUUAUUUAUUAUUUUUAAUAAAGUAAGAGAGGAAGAAAAUGAAAUGUUUGAUCUGAGCUACACACCAAAGACUGGUUUGCUUUGUUUGUGAAAUUUAUAAAAUGAUAAUAUUCAGCAUAGCAUAUUAUUCUUAGAUUUUCUAUCAGUACAAAAUUCUUCUGUCUGCAGUAUGUUUUAAGUCAUUCUUAAAUGACUUAAUAUUUCUCUGGACCAUUUCCUAGUUUGAAUGGUAUAAUUUGGUAAACAUAAACAUUAGUGAGUGGAGCAUGAUGACACAUGUGUAUCUGCUUAUGCCACGAUGAACCAUGCUCUUUGUAUUUAAAUUAGGCUAAUUACAUUUUUUUUGUGCAUAUAGUACAUACAAGUACACUGCAUAUGAAGUGAAGCAUGUAUGAAAUCUGAUGUCAUUUUUGAAUUCACAUAUAUUUUCUUGAUUAAUCCAGAUGUGUUUAAUGUUGAAAUAUUAUUUUCAUUUAAAAAGUAAAUGUUCUACAUGUACAGCUGUACUAAUAUUUUACAUUUUCUUGUGACAUGUGUAUAUGGAGAAAGUGCCAUUUAUGAUAUGUUGUCAUCAAUAAUUUUGUCACUGAGAAUAAAAGGCCUUAAACUCAUCCACCCACUGGAACAUUUUAUCAUAUUUAUUUUAAGAGAUGAAAUUAGUGAACAAUUGGGCUCUUUAUAUGUAGGAGACAUGAAAUAACAGAACAUUUACCAUGAACGAAGUGCAACAUUAACAUCUCAGUGCCAAUACAUUAUACAGAGGUAGUAUAUUCUAUAGACAUCUAAUAAAUAGUUUCUGUUUUUCACAGAUUCUUUAUAUGCGUUCUUUAUUAGGGCCUAAUUUAUAAUAAAUGGUAAUAUUAAAUAUUGGUUAACUUUUUAGAGUGAUCUAUCACAUUUGAAACUAUUGUAUUUUGAAUAAGAGUAAAAUGUUGUUCCAAAUCAUUACAUUUACUGAUUAAAUGCUCACCGAUUUUUAUCCAUCGCUGUAUUCGGCAAUUUAAGCAAGAGUUUACCACAGUAAUGCUUCAGUGGAUAAUAUUUGGAAUAGAGUAACCAUUUUAAUGAGUUCAUCGAGAGAGAUUCAGCAGGGAGCAUUUCAGGUGUAUUACGGCUUUUGUCUUGUCAGGAUGCACAUCUCUAUACCAUUAGAAAAAGGGCUUCAGAGUCCUACUCAUCUCAGUUAAUAAUGAUUAUAACAACAACAACAAAGCCAAAACCCAGAGCUUCACCUUCCGAGUAAAGUCUGGGCAGCAGGAUAGAAUGUAUAGGCAGGUUGUGUGCUUUUAGGAAACUUGUUAAGUGAAUACCAUUUCUUUGGGUUAAAUUUCCAUCACAUUUUUAACUGUCCCAAUAUUGAUCACCGUACAGAGGAAUGAGACUGAAGCCUGGUAGUUAUUAGUAUAAAGAGGGUCAGCUGCAGAGAUAGUCCCGAGCAGAGGCUCUCAUGGUAAUGAUGCUGCUAUUUAUAGAUCCCCAUUUCAUUAGUUGCAGAGUUUCAAGGAAGAGAUUUUCUCUAGGGGAAAUGGAUACUUGAAGUUCAUUUUCUCCCUCACAUUAAGGCAGAAACGUGAACAACCUUCAGUAUAGGACCUGUGAUUAUGGUAUUUUUGCAGGGGCAGUUUAUUCCCUAAAUAUAUCUGCAGCAGUAAAUGUACAUUUAAAACAUAAUGUAGGGAUUCAGAAGCGCUGGCUGGUCUUCUGGCUGAGCGCUACAUUGUGCACAUUGCUCUUAAUAUCCUUGUCAUUUUUUUUUUUUUUUGUAAAAAUUAAAUUUCAGAAAUUGUGCAAAGCUGUAUAUAAUCAUGGUCUUCUCUUCCUUCAGAGUGCUUUAGGGCCUAAGAAGGAUGUAAGAAGUGCCAGUUCCCCCAAGAUCCAGUCUACCCACAGUGUGUAUCUGUCUAUAUUUGUGAUAUAGGUAAUUGUGCUUUCCUUCUGGAAUUCUUGACAUUUGAGUUAUUUUUUUCCCUUUAAGAGAAUAUUUACUUAGCUAGUAUUCACUUAAUUAGAACUGACUGUUUAAUGUUUUCUGGGCGGGUAUUUAUGGUAUUUUCUUUGCGAUAUUUGCAUUCCAGAAAUUAAGUCCCCCUGCCAUUAUUCGGCGAGCCUUUCAUACAUUAGAAUGAUGAAUUGAAAGCAGAAAUGGGAAAAAGACUGCAAUGCAAUGAAAAUUUAAUCAGCGUCUUCUGCUGCUUUAAUAAGGCAAAUAAUUCUUAUUGGCCGCUGUGUUAAGGUUUCUAAUAUUUAAUUCAUAACAAACCUUGCAUUAUUCUGCAGUAGCAUCGACAGCUCCACUUUGCUGCCUGCCAACAGGCAACCAUAAAAACUUAAAAGCAGAUGUAAAUGUCUAAAACAAGGAGAACGAUUAGAUCUAAAGCAGUCAAAAAAUCAACAAUAUGGUGAAAGAAUUUGAUGGAUCUCUGUAUUUAGUGAUGCAAAAAUUAUAUUAAUUACAUUUUCUUGAACAGAUUGUUUUUGACUUGGUACCCUUUUAUAAAGCGUGGUCCUUAAGCAAAUGCCAAUUGAGUGUUUGGCUAUAAUCUUUGAACUGGACACAAACUGUGCGGAUUCUACUGGAAGUAUCGGGAUUAUAUUCCUGUGUGUAUGAACUCUCAGAUAGUAUUGUGCUGAAAUGGAGCGAGUGGGAUAAAAUGUUUUAUCUUUGGUUAACCCAGUUUGAGGAAAGCAGUAGCUUUUGGAGACUGUUUUUGUUUGAAAUGCCUGUUAAAAAUUUUGUCCUGGGAUUAAAGGAGUGUAUGCUUUCA